rnacentral:rRNA from 1 species
ACGGGUGAGUAACGCGUAAGGAACUUGCCUGCGGGACCGGGAUAACAGUAGGAAACUGCUGACAAGACCGGAUAAGGUCAUUAAGCCGCAUAGCUUAGUGAUGAAAGGAGACGCCUGCGGAGAGUCUUGCGUCCUAUUAGCUAGUUGGAGGGGUAACGGCCCACCAAGGCGAAGAUAGGUAGCCGGCCUGAGAGGGUGGACGGCCACAAGGGGACUGAGAUACGGCCCUUACUCCUACGGGAGGCAGCAGUGGGGAAUAUUGGACAAUGGGGGCAACCCUGAUCCAGCAAUUCUGUGUGCACGAAGACGGUUUUCGGAUUGUAAAGUGCUUUCAGCAGGGAAGAAGGAAGUGACGGUACCUGCAGAAGAAGCGACGGCUAAAUACGUGCCAGCAGCCGCGGUAAUACGUAUGUCGCAAGCGUUAUCCGGAAUUAUUGGGCAUAAAGGGCAUCUAGGCGGCCAGACAAGUCUGGGGUGAAAACUUGCGGCUCAACCGCAAGCCUGCCCUGGAAACUGUUUGGCUAGAGUGCUGGAGAGGUGGACGGAACUGCACGAGUAGAGGUGAAAUUCGUAGAUAUGUGCAGGAAUGCCGAUGAUGAAGAUAGUUCACUGGACGGUAACUGACGCUGAAGUGCGAAAGCUGGGGGAGCGAACAGGAUUAGAUACCCU